GCUCCUGGGCAUGCUCGGAAUUGUAGUCUUACCUGGGCCACGUUCUGUCGUCUUGCUCCCGAAGCAUGAUGGGAGCUGUAGGCCUUACCGAGGGGGAGGGUCUUCCUCUCACUGGUGUUUCAUGGGAGUUGUAGUUUGUUAAUGAGCCAUAUGACACAGCAUCAGUGGUAGAGAUGUCCUACCAUGCACAACGUGGGGCCUAGAUGCAUAUUAUCUUUGGGGGCCAGUGCUGCGUUGGGUGCCAAUCACUGACCACCCCACCCCUGUGCAGCUGGGACUAAUAAUGCAAAACUAGCCAUUGCCCCGCACAAGCUCUGCUCCUUCUCAGAUGGAGCCAGAAACAGAUGCUCAGGAAGAAAAACAACACUGGAAAAACACAGUGAGAUGAUCCGCUCAAGCCCCA